GGAAGACUGCUCAUCUACCAAAAGCUCAACGAAUCCAUCUUGUGACAAGACAAAUGACAAGACAAAAAAAAAAGGCAGCAGUCCAAAGCAUACAAAAAAGGAAAAAUCUAAUGGAAAUCCUAAAAGAAAAGAAAAAAGUUGUCCAGAGCAGUUAUGAAACACACACUGAGUAUGUCCCCAUGGCUGUGCACAAGGAACUGCAAGACAAGUACUAUAACCUCAAAAAAAGGAUGCGAGAGGAGGAGAUGAGUAAUGAAGAAAAAGGGGGGGAAAUCAAAUGUUUAAAAGAAGAGAAAAGGGACACGAAAGCUGCACUGCUGCAACUAAGGCAGUUAAACCUUCAUCUCCAAGAGGAGCUCUUCCAAAACAAAAAAAUAACACAACAGGAGCCACAGACCUCUACUGCAGGCCACACUCCCCUCCCACCGCAGCCAGUUCAUAGUCCAGAAGCAGAGGAGCAAAUGGCUAUAUUACUCAAAAUAACACAAAAGGAGCCACAGACCUCUCCUGCAGGCCACACUUCUCUCCCACAGCAGCCAGUUCACGGUCCAGAAGCAGAG